rnacentral:rRNA from 1 species
UACUCCUACGGGAGGCAGCAGCAAGGAAUCUUGGGCAAUGGGCGAAAGCCUGACCCAGCAACGCCGCGUGAGGGAUGAAGGCUUUCGGGUUGUAAACCUCUUUUCAUAGGGAAGAAUAAUGACGGUACCUGUGGAAUAAGCUUCGGCUAACUACGUGCCAGCAGCCGCGGUAAUACGUAGGAAGCAAGCGUUAUCCGGAUUUAUUGGGCGUAAAGUGAGCGUAGGUGGUCUUUCAAGUUGGAUGUGAAAUUUCCCGGCUUAACCGGGACGAGUCAUUCAAUACUGUUGGGCUAGAGUACAGCAGGAGAAAACGGAAUUCCCGGUGUAGUGGUAAAAUGCGUAGAUAUCGGGAGGAACACCAGAGGCGAAGGCGGUUUUCUAGGUUGUCACUGACACUGAGGCUCGAAAGCGCGGGGAGCGAACAGAAUUAGAUACUCUGGUAGUCCACGCCUUAAACUAUGGACACUAGGUAUAGGGAGUAUCGACCCUCUCUGUGCCGAAGCUAACGCUUUAAGUGUCCCGCCUGGGGAGUACGGUCGCAAGGCUAAAACUCAAAGGAAUUGACGG